AUUGAACGCUGGCGGCAGGCCUAACACAUGCAAGUCGAGCGGUAGAGAGGUGCUUGCAUCUCUUGAGAGCGGCGGACGGGUGAGUAAUGCCUAGGAAUCUGCCUAGUGGUGGGGGGAUAACGUUCGGAAACGGACGCUAAUACCGCAUACGUCCUACGGGAGAAAGCGGGGGAUCGCAAGACCUCGCGCGAUUGGAGCGGCCGAUAUCAGAUUAGGUAGUUGGUGAGGUAAAGGCUCACCAAGCCGACGAUCUGUAGCUGGUCUGAGAGGACGACCAGCCACACUGGGACUGAGACACGGCCCAGACUCCUACGGGAGGCAGCAGUGGGGAAUUUUGGACAAUGGGCGCAAGCCUGAUCCAGCAAUGCCGCGUGCAGGAUGAAGGCCUUCGGGUUGUAAACUGCUUUUGUACGGAACGAAACGGUGAGCUCUAAUACAGUUUGCUAAUGACGGUACCGUAAGAAUAAGCACCGGCUAACUACGUG
rnacentral:rRNA from 1 species